AAAGUAGGGGAUCGCAAGACCUCGCGCGAUUGGAGUGGCCGAUGUCAGAUUAGCUAGUUGGUGGGGUAAAGGCCUACCAAGGCAACGAUCUGUAGCUGGUCUGAGAGGAUGAUCAGCCACACUGGGACUGAGACACGGCCCAGACUCCUACGGGAGGCAGCAGUGGGGAAUUUUGGACAAUGGGGGCAACCCUGAUCCAGCCAUUCCGCGUGAGUGAAGAAGGCCUUCGGGUUGUAAACUGCUUUUGUACGGAACGAAAAGACUGCUGGUUAAUACCUGGGGUCCAUGACGGUACCGUAAGA
rnacentral:rRNA from 1 species